AUCUACUUAGCUCUGUGGCAUAAACAUGCCUUUGCUGCCUGAUCCUGGCACAAGAUGUUGAGGAAGAGCAAGGGUGGUGGGGAUAAAGCUCUGGGGGUGCUGUAGAGGAAGGCAGACACGCCAGCACAGGGAUGCCUUCACAGAGCACAGAUCCUGGAGCCCACCGCUCCACCUGCACUCCCUGCAAAGGUCAGCCCUUGAGUUUGAAGUACCAGCUUCUAUUUUUGCUGACUUGCCAGGGAAAGGAAGUUUCUGGCUUGACCAGGAGAUGUCUCUAUUAAGCCACGUCGAGCUGAACGCUGAGGCAAAGCAGGAGGAGAGGGCUGUGCGGGGGAACUCAGACCUGCAAAAGGUGCUGCUGUGGAGGGACCCUCCCCUCGCUCCCACCGCUGCCUCAAUUAGCAGCACCUUAUUACAGCCCUCCGGCAGCUAUUUAAGUGCUGUUUCCUCUCGGAACAGCUCAGGUGGAGCUAGUAGACCUCUGCCUGGCUUUCAAGGCAGACCGCAACAGAUCUGGUGUGAAGAGCCUCUUCUCCCCCGUGAGCUCUGCCCAUCACUGCAUCUCCUUCAGCAAGAAGACCCAGCGGAAUUUCCUCUGAUCUAGAGGAAGGACCAGAGAGAGAGGCACAAAAUACUGCACGAAGAAGCUGUGGCUGCAAUGUUUGCUGCAAGGUCCAUCCCUGCCCAUGGGACUUUAUUUUUGGGACCAAGCCCUGGGCACUGUUGUGCUGCCCCCAGUGCAGGCAGCAGAUGGGCAAUCCUGCCUGACCCAGCUUUUGUGGGGGUGAGAGCAUCACAGAGACCAUGGAAGGAGAUGGGAAGAGCUCUGCAGGAAGCUGAGGACCAAAUUAGCAUUUCCUCACCCAGUUUUUGGGAAGAGAGGGGGGUCAUUUUUUCUCACAGAGGUUGUGGUGGUGCAGUUAUAACUCUCUCGUUUUUAGCCUUUGGGAAUGGGUUUUGGGUUUGUUUGAGGUGUGGCAAUGUUUUGGCAUGCAAGCCUGCUUGCAGGGCAGUAAAGGACACAACACCCUCUGCCUAAUUUUAGGGGAAAAGGUGAUGAUAGAGACUAAAGAGAGGCCAAUUUUGGCAGCUGAUGGGCAGGAACAUGCCUGUGACUCUAUGUCUUAACUCAGGGAUUUGAGAACUUUAAAGCCCAGUGAGCUACAUCCCUUCCCUACCCAAGACCCUGCAUUCAGGAACAGCCAUCAUUUUGCAUUUUGUCUGCCUUUAAAUCCCAAAAUGUUGCCAUGUACUUUUAAGUUUAGGCUUAAAAACAGAAAAAAGAACCAAUGGUUUGCAUUUACUUGCUUCAGGGGGAUGCUGUUCAGCUUAAUUCCUAGUAAUAGUGAAAUGUUUGAAAGAGCUGUUUUUUCCUACCAAAAGCUUCUCUCUGAUAUUGCUACAUUUUUCAGCCUUAAUCCUGAAUGAUCACCUGAUGGUGACUGCAAAUUAUCCCAGGGUCUGUACCUGCAUUACAUGAGCUUCAACUUCUGACACAAUUUGCAUGUGGAUGUAGCCAACAUCACAUCAAUAAUCUCCCAGCAACUCUUUGGAAAGGAGAGAAUUGAGUUAUUUAAAGCAAUUGAGCCCUUGCUUUGUGCUGUGCAAUGAUACUUCAUAGUUAAGAGCAUUUAAAACUUUGGGGCCAAAUUCUGCAGUUCUCCACUGCCCAGAGCUGCCUUUGAUUCCAGUGAAGGUUUUAUACAAGUGAAAACAUCAUAAUUGAGCCCUUAAUCAGCAUUUCUUUUACUGCUGGGGCUUGAAUACUCUUGUAAAGAGGCUCCAUGUACAAUUGAAGCUAUACUUAUGGCUAAAUGGUGUAGAAAUUAUGAAUAUAGAUUAAA